rnacentral:rRNA from 1 species
AACGAACGCUGGCGGCAUGCCUAACACAUGCAAGUCGAACGAGACCUUCGGGUCUAGUGGCGCACGGGUGCGUAACGCGUGGGAACCUGCCCUUAGGUUCGGAAUAACUCCCCGAAAGGGGUGCUAAUACCGGAUAAUGUCUUCGGACCAAAGAUUUAUCGCCUUUGGAUGGGCCCGCGUUGGAUUAGCUAGUUGGUAGGGUAAAAGCCUACCAAGGCGACGAUCCAUAGCUGGUCUGAGAGGAUGAUCAGCCACACUGGGACUGAGACACGGCCCAGACUCCUACGGGAGGCAGCAGUGGGGAAUAUUGGACAAUGGGCGAAAGCCUGAUCCGGCAAUGACGCGUGAGUGAUGAAGGCCUUAGGGUUGUAAAGCUCUUUUACCCGGGAUGAUAAUGACAGUACCGGGAGAAUAAGCUCCGGCUAACUCCGUG